rnacentral:rRNA from 1 species
GUUAUAUGGUCAAGUGAUCAAGCGCAUCUGGUGGAUGCCUUGGCGGCAACAGGCGAUGAAGGACGUAGUAGCUUGCGAUAAGCCACGGGGAGGUAGCAAACAACCUUUGAUCCGUGGAUUUCCGAAUGGGGCAACCCACGCUUUACGCGUAUCCCGCAAGGGAAGCUAACCCGGAGAACUGAAACAUCUAAGUACCCGGAGGAAAAGAAAUCAACCGAUAUUCCGCAAGUAGUGGCGAGCGAACGCGGAGCAGCCUAAACACCGAAACUUAGCAGAAGGGUCUGGAAAGUCCCGCCAUAGCGAGUGAUAGCCUCGUAUGCGAAAAGUCAGGUGUUGACAUUAAGUAGGGCGAGGCACGUGAAACCUUGUCUGAACAUGGGGGGACCAUCCUCCAAGGCUAAAUACUCGUUGCCGACCGAUAGUGAACCAGUACCGUGAGGGAAAGGCGAAAAGAACCCCGGCGAGGGGAGUGAAAUAGAACCUGAAAUCGGAUGCGUACAAGCAGUCAGAGCCCGCAAGGGUGAUGGCGUACCUUUUGUAUAAUGGGUCAGCGACUUACUAGUCUGUAGCGAGCCUAACCGUAUAGGGGAGGCGCAGGGAAACCGAGUCUGAAUAGGGCGAUUAGUUGCAGGCUGUAGACCCGAAACCCGUCGAUCUAUCCAUGUCCAGGGUGAAGAGUGGGUAACACCACUUGGAGGCCCGAACUCACGCCUGUUGAAAAAGUCGGAGAUGAGGUGUGGAUAGGAGUGAAAGGCUAAUCAAGGCGGGUGAUAGCUGGUUCUCCUCGAAAGCUAUUGAGGUAGCGCCUCGUGUCUAACUACCGGGGGUAGAGCACUGUUUCGACUAGGGGGGACACAAGUCCUUACCAAAUCGAUGCAAACUCCGAAUACCGGUAAGUUCAAUCACGGGAGACACACGGUGGGAGCUAAAUUUCAUCGUGAAGAGGGAAACAACCCAGACCGCCAGCUAAGGUCCCUAAAUUACGGCUAAGUGGUAAACGAUGUGGGAAGUCAUAGACAGCCAGGAUGUUGGCUUAGAAGCAGCCAUCAUUUAAAGAAAGCGUAAUAGCUCACUGGUCGAGUCGGCCCGCGCGGAAGAUGUAACGGGGCUAAGCCGUGUACCGAAGCUGCGGAUGCACAGCAAUGUGCGUGGUAGAGGAGCGUUCUGUAAGCCUGCGAAGGUGACUCGUAAGGGUUGCUGGAGGUAUCAGAAGUGCGAAUGCUGACAUGAGUAACGACAAUGACGGUGAAAAACCGUCACGCCGUAAGCCCAAGGGUUCCAGCGCAACGAUAUUCGGCGCUGGGUGAGUCGGCUCCUAAGGCGAGGCCGAAAGGCGUAGUCGAUGGAAAGCUGGUUAAUAUUCCAGCACUUGUUUCUGCUGCGAUGGGGUGACGGAGAAGGUUAGGCAAUCCACCUGUUGGAUGGUGGUUUAAGCGUUUAGGAGUGCCCGGUAGGCAAAUCCGCUGGGAUUAUCUGAGACGUGAUGACGAGGCUCUUUGAGCUGAAGUUGCUGAUACCCCGCUUCCAAGAAAAACCUCUAAGCUUCAGGCAGAUACGAGCCGUACCCCAAACCGACACAGGUGGGCGAGGAGAGUAUCCUCAGGCGUUUGAGACAACUCGGGAGAAGGAACUCGGCAAAUUAGAACCGUAACUUCGGGAUAAGGUUCGCCCACGCAAGUGGGCCGCAGUGAAGAGGGGGUUGCGACUGUUUAUCAAAAACACAGCACUCUGCAAACACGAAAGUGGACGUAUAGGGUGUGACUCCUGCCCGGUGCUGGAAGGUUAAUUGAUGGGGUCAGCCGCAAGGCGAAGCUCUUGAUCGAAGCCCCAGUAAACGGCGGCCGUAACUAUAACGGUCCUAAGGUAGCGAAAUUCCUUGUCGGGUAAGUUCCGACCUGCACGAAUGGAGUAACGAUAGCCCCACUGUCUCCUUCCGAGGCUCAGUGAAAUUGAAAUCGCUGUGACGAUGCAGUGUUCCCGCGGCAAGACGGAAAGACCCCGUGAACCUUUACUAUAUCUUUACAUUGGAUUUUGAGUUUGUUUGUGUAGGAUAGGUGGGAGGCAUUGAAACCUGGACGCUAGUUCAGGUGGAGCCAACCUUGAAAUACCACCCUGAUAAACUCGGAAUUCUAACCUCGACCAGUCAUCCUGGUCAGGGACAAUGUAUGGUGGGUAGUUUGACUGGGGCGGUCUCCUCCCAAAGAGUAACGGAGGAGUGCGAAGGUCAGCUCAGCGCGGUCGGAAAUCGCGCUCUUGAGUGCAUAGGCACAAGCUGGCUUGACUGCGAGACAGACGAGUCGAGCAGGUACGAAAGUAGGUCUAAGUGAUCCGGUGGUUCUGUAUGGAAGGGCCAUCGCUCAACGGAUAAAAGGUACUCCGGGGAUAACAGGCUGAUACUGCCCAAGAGUCCAUAUCGACGGCAGUGUUUGGCACCUCGAUGUCGGCUCAUCACAUCCUGGGGCUGUAGCAGGUCCCAAGGGUCCGGCUGUUCGCCGGUUAAAGUGGUACGCGAGCUGGGUUCAGAACGUCGUGAGACAGUUCGGUCCCUAUCUGCCGUGGGCGUUCGAGAUUUGAGAGGAGUUAACCUUAGUACGAGAGGACCGGGUUGAACGUAUCUCUGGUGUUCCAGUUGUCACGCCAGUGGCAUCGCUGGGUAGCUAUAUACGGACGGGAUAAACGCUGAAAGCAUCUAAGCGUGAAGCCCACCUCAAGAUGAGAUCUCGCGGGUCUUCGAGACCCCUAAAGAGCCCUUGUAGACCACAAGGUUGAUAGGCACGGUGUGUACGGCCGGUAACGGUCAGCUAACGUGUACUAAUUGCUCGUGCGGCUUGACCAUAUAACGCUCAAGCA